GAUGAACGCUAGCUACAGGCUUAACACAUGCAAGUCGAGGGGUAACGAGAGGAAAGCUUGCUUUCCUUGUCGACGACCGGCGCACGGGUGAGUAACGCGUAUCCAACCUGCCCCCAACUAGGGAAUAACCUUGCGAAAGUAAGACUAAUACCCUAUAAUUUCCUCAGAUGUCAUCUGACGAGGAAUAAAGAUUUAUCGGUUGUGGAGGGGGAUGCGCCUGAUUAGCUUGUUGGCGGGGUAACGGCCCACCAAGGCAACGAUCAGUAGGGGUUCUGAGAGGAAGGUCCCCACAUUGGAACUGAGACGCGGUCCAAACUCCUACGGGAGGCAGCAGUGAGGAAUAUUGGUCAAUGGGCGGAAGCCUGAACCAGCCAAGUAGCGUGCAGGAUGACGGCCCUAUGGGUUGUAAACUGCUUUUAUACAGGAAUAAAGUUAGCCACGUGUGGUUAUUUGCAGGUACUGUAUGAAUAAGGACCGGCUAAUUCCGUGCCAGCCGCCGCAGUAA
rnacentral:rRNA from 1 species